UACGGAGGGGGCUAGCGUUGUUCGGAAUUACUGGGCGUAAAGCGCGCGUAGGCGGAUCUGCAAGUCGGGGGUGAAAUCCCGAGGCUCAACCUCGGAACUGCCUUCGAUACUGCGGGUCUCGAGUCCGGGAGAGGUGAGUGGAAUUCCUAGUGUAGAGGUGAAAUUCGUAGAUAUUAGGAAGAACACCAGUGGCGAAGGCGGCUUACUGGUCCGGUUCUGACGCUGAGGCGCGAAAGCGUGGGGAGCAAACAGG
rnacentral:rRNA from 1 species